rnacentral:rRNA from 1 species
CCAAUAGCGUAUAUUAAAGUUGUUGCAGUUAAAAAGCUCGUAGUUGAAUUUCGAGAUCAAAUUGUUGGUCGUGCCUCGGUACGCACUGGCAUUAUUGGUUUCUCCCUUCUGAAGAACCUUGAUGUCAUUAAUUUGGUGUCUUGGGGAAUCAGGACCGUUACUUUGAAAAAAUUAGAGUGUUUAAAGCAGGCUCACGCUUGAAUACAUUAGCAUGGAAUAAUGAAAUAGGACGUUUGAUUCUAUUUUGUUGGUUUCUAGGAUCGACGUAAUGAUUAAUAGGGCUAGUUGGGGGCAUUAGUAUUCAUUUGUCAGAGGUGAAAUUCUUGGAUUUAUUGAAGACUAACUACUGCGAAAGCAUUUGCCAAGGAUGUUUUCAUUAAUCAAGAACGAAAGUUAGGGGAUCGAAGACGAUCAGAUACCGUCGUAGUCUUAACCAUAAACUAUGCCGACUAGGGAUCGGAUGAUGUUAAUUUUUUAAUGACUCAUUCGGCGCCUUACG